GGGCCUAUAGCUCAGUUGGUUAGAGCGCACCCCUGAUAAGGGUGAGGUCAGAGGUCCGAAUCCUCUUAGGCCCA
rnacentral:tRNA from 1 species